UUUCUUCAACACUUGUUACACAACCUUUAAGUCCUUUUUGGUCUUUACAGUUUUCAUUUUCUUUAUAACUUUCAUUGUCUUGCUUCUGCUCAGCGCAGGAAUCAAUAAAAUUAACCAUACCAGAAUUAGGGUUUCUGGCAGCACAUGUUUCUCAGUUUUAGCUCUAAGGAGAAGGAAAAAUGUAGAUGGGCAGUGUUCUACUUCACAUUGGGAGGAAAAGAGAAUGAAGGAGCUUCCCUCAGCCCAUUCAUAGAUAUGAUGAAAGAAUGGGUUGCUGAACUAACAUGAUUCAUUCAUACAAUAGUAUUCAGCUAUAGGUUUUGCUAUUGUGUGAAUGAAGAUUUGGUAACCCUCUUUAUCUGUUGCUUGGACUGAAGGGAGCUCCUUCUUUCUGUUGCUUCCAUUUGUAUCCACUUCUCAAAAGGCUUUAUGCAUGUCUAAGCUUAAUCAAUAUGUGCUUAGUACAAAAAAAGGUGCGAUCAGUACACUGUAGCUGAUGUUACACAUCGUCUUCUAGCUCUUUGAAAAUUGUGUGAUCCUCCAAGACAUGUCUAUAAAUCUUACAAUAGCACUUGUAUAUAUCUAAUGAUUUAGUAGUUUGUUUAGUUUAAACUUUAACAUGAUCACGGUAUGUUUAUAUAUACAUGUUCCUUUCAUCAAGUAGAUAACUAACAGUUUGCCACUUUCCUUUCAGGUUGUUUUUGGUACAAGUUUUUCUUCUCUACAUUUGAGUUCUUUCUUUCUUUGGGUUUGGGAAAGCAAGGGUCUGUACAUCUCACAGGACUAGUUGCAAUGUCUAUUCUUUUCCAUUUUA